GACGGGGCCCGCACAAGCGGUGGAGUAUGUGGUUUAAUUCGAUGCAACGCGAAGAACCUUACCAGGCCUUGACAUGCAGAGAACUUUCCAGAGAUGGAUUGGUGCCUUCGGGAACUCUGACACAGGUGCUGCAUGGCUGUCGUCAGCUCGUGUCGUGAGGUGUUGGGUUAAGUCCCGUAACGAGCGCAACCCUUGUCCUUAGUUACCAGCACGUUAUGGUGGGCACUCUAAGGAGACUGCCGGUGACAAACCGGAGGAAGGUGGGGAUGACGUCAAGUCAUCAUGGCCCUUACGGCCUGGGCUACACACGUGCUACAAUGGUCGGUACAAAGGGUUGCCAAGCCGCGAGGUGGAGCUAAUCCCAUAAAACCGAUCGUAGUCCGGAUCGCAGUCUGCAACUCGACUGCGUGAAGUCGGAAUCGCUAGUAAUCGUGAAUCAGAAUGUCACGGUGAAUACGUUCCCGGGCCUU
rnacentral:rRNA from 1 species